UACGUAGGGGGCAAGCGUUGUCCGGAAUCAUUGGGCGUAAAGAGCGUGUAGGCGGCCCGAUAAGUCCGCUGUGAAAGUCCAGGGCUCAACCCUGGGAUGCCGGUGGAUACUGUCGGGCUCGAGUCCGGAAGAGGAGUGUGGAAUUCCUGGUGUAGCGGUGAAAUGCGCAGAUAUCAGGAGGAACACCAAGGGCGAAGGCAGCACUCUGGGACGUGACUGACGCUGAGACGCGAAAGCGUGGGGAGCAAACAGG
rnacentral:rRNA from 1 species